AGGGUUUGAUUAUGGCUCAGAAUGAACGUUGGCGGCGUGGAUUAGGCAUGCAAGUCGAACGGGCCGCAAGGCCAGUGGCGCAAGGGUGAGUAAGGCGACGGUAACCAACCCCGGGAUUGGGGAUAGCCGCGGGAAACCGCGGGUAAUCCCCAGCGACGCGACGACGCCGGCAUCGGCGUCUCGCCAAAGCCCCGGCGUCCCGGGACGGGCUGUCGUGGUAUUAGCUUGUUGGCGGGGUAAUGGCCCACCAAGGCUCUGAUGCCUACCGGGCGUGCGAGCGUGGCCCGGCACACUGGGACUGAGACACUGCCCAGACUCCUACGGGAGGCUGCAGUCGAGAAUCUUCGGCAAUGGGCGCAAGCCUGACCGAGCGACGCCGCGUGGAGGACGAAGGCCUUCGGGUUGUAAACUCCUGUCGAGGGGGAAAAAGGGCCGCAAGGCCUUGAUUGAUCCCUGGAGGAAGCACGGGCUAAGUUCGUGCCAGCAGCCGCGGU
rnacentral:rRNA from 1 species